rnacentral:rRNA from 1 species
CCAGACUCCUACGGGAGGCAGCAGUGGGGAAUAUUGGACAAUGGGGGGAACCCUGAUCCAGCGACGCCGCGUGAGUGAAGAAGUAUUUCGGUAUGUAAAGCUCUAUCAGCAGGGAAGAAAGAAAUGACGGUACCUGACUAAGAAGCCCCGGCUAACUACGUGCCAGCAGCCGCGGUAAUACGUAGGGGGCAAGCGUUAUCCGGAUUUACUGGGUGUAAAGGGAGCGUAGACGGCGAUGCAAGCCAGAUGUGAAAGCCCGGGGCUCAACCCCGGGACUGCAUUUGGAACUGUGUGGCUGGAGUGUCGGAGAGGCAGGCGGAAUUCCUAGUGUAGCGGUGAAAUGCGUAGAUAUUAGGAGGAACACCAGUGGCGAAGGCGGCCUGCUGGACGAUGACUGACGUUGAGGCUCGAAAGCGUGGGGAGCAAACAGGAUUAGAUACCCUGGUA